rnacentral:rRNA from 1 species
CACGUAGGGGGCGAGCGUUGUCCGGAUUUAUUGGGCGUAAAGAGCUCGUAGGCGGCUAAGUAAGUCGGGUGUGAAAACUCCAGGCUCAACCUGGAGACGCCACCCGAUACUGCUUUGGCUAGAGUCCGGUAGGGGAGCAUGGAACUCCUGGUGUAGCGGUGAAAUGCGCAGAUAUCAGGAGGAACACCAGUGGCGAAGGCGGUGCUCUGGGCCGGAACUGACGCUGAGGAGCGAAAGCGUGGGGAGCAAACAGG